rnacentral:lncRNA from 10 species
CUCCUGGGGAGGCCUUGGGAGCUUCCACUCAUGGCAGAGGUGAAGGGGAGCCUGCUUGUGCAGAGGUCACACAGUGACAGAGGGAAUGAGAGAGAGGGGGAAGGUGCCAAGGCCUUCUAAAGAGCAAUGGUAGAACUCAGCUGGCAAAGGAGCAGUAACAUGCCCUCCAUUCCGCCUGAAAACCACCUCCUGCCCACAUGACCUCUCUCCUCAGCCAAGCUACCAACCAAGGGCAAGAGUAAAAUAAAGACACCUGCAGAUGUCAGAAAGCUGGCAGAGCAUGGCUGGAUUCUCUGCUCGAGGUCUCACAUGCCCAAAAUCAAGGUAUUGGCCGGCUGGGCUCUUGUGUGGAGGCUCUGGGGAAGAACCAUUCAGGCUGUGGACAGAAGACAGCUCCUUGUGGCUAUAGGACUGAGAGCCCUGCUUCCCGCCACCGGCCCUUCAAGCACAAGCCCUCCAGGCCUCAAAUCUCUCUGCCUUCCUCUUCUGCUUGUAAAGGCGCAUGUGAUUUCACUGGACCCACUUUCAAAACCCAGGAUAACUUCCCUAUUUUAAAGUCCAUUUACCUUAAUUAAUCUGCACAGCCACUUUGCCAUGUAAAGUAACAUAUUCGUGGGCAUGAAACCAGGGGGUGAAGGUCAUGUGGCUUUGAGAGCAGCACUCUCGGUGACACAUACUCAAUUCUGCUCCUCCAGUGCAAAAGCAGCC